AGAGUUUGAUCCUGGCUCAGGAUGAACGCUGGCGGCGUGCCUAACACAUGCAAGUCGAGCGAUUCUCUUCGGAGAAGAGCGGCGGACGGGUGAGUAACGCGUGGGUAACCUGCCCUGUACACACGGAUAACAUACCGAAAGGUAUGCUAAUACGAGAUAAUAUGCUUUUAUCGCAUGGUAGAAGUAUCAAAGCUUUUGCGGUACAGGAUGGACCCGCGUCUGAUUAGCUAGUUGGUAAGGUAACGGCUUACCAAGGCGACGAUCAGUAGCCGACCUGAGAGGGUGAUCGGCCACAUUGGAACUGAGACACGGUCCAAACUCCUACGGGAGGCAGCAGUGGGGAAUAUUGCACAAUGGGCGAAAGCCUGAUGCAGCAACGCCGCGUGAGCGAUGAAGGCCUUCGGGUCGUAAAGCUCUGUCCUCAAGGAAGAUAAUGACGGUACUUGAGGAGGAAGCCCCGGCUAACUACGUGCCAGCAGCCGCAGUAAUACGUAGAGGGCAAGCGUUGUCCGGAAUUACUGGGCGUAAAGGGUACGCAGGCGGAUAUAUAAGUCAAAUGUGAAAGGCACCGGCUCAACCGGUGAGCGGCAUUUGAAACUGUAUAUCUUGAGUUCAGGAGAAGAGAGCGGAAUUCCUGGUGUAGCGGUGGAAUGCGUAGAUAUCAGGAAGAACACCAGUGGCGAAGGCGGCUCUCUGGCCUGAAACUGACGCUCAGGUACGAAAGCUGGGGGAGCGAACGGGAUUAGAUACCCCGGUAGUCCCAGCCGUAAACGAUGGACACUAGGUGUUGGGGGUUUGAAUCCUUCAGUGCCGAAGCAAACGCAUUAAGUGUCCCGCCUGGGGAGUACGGUCGCAAGACUGAAACUCAAAGGAAUUGACGGGGGCCCGCACAAGCGGUGGAGCAUGUGGUUUAAUUCGAUGCAACGCGAAGAGCCUUACCGAGACUUGACAUCCCGUGACUAUCUGUGAAAGCAGAGUCUGCCUUCGGGCACACGGAGACAGGUGGUGCAUGGUUGUCGUCAGCUCGUGUCGUGAGAUGUUGGGUUAAGUCCCGCAACGAGCGCAACCCCUAUCCUUAGUUGCCAGCGGGUAAUGCCGGGGACUCUAAGGAGACAGCUGGUGGAAGCCGGAGGAAGGUGGGGAUGACGUCAAAUCAUCAUGCCCUUUAUGUCUCGGGCUACACACGUGCUACAAUGGCCAGUACAGAGGGAAGCGAAGGAGUGAUCUGGAGCAAAUCCCAGAAAGCUGGUCCCAGUUCGGAUUGCAGGCUGCAACUCGCCUGCAUGAAGCCGGAAUCGCUAGUAAUCGCAGGUCAGCAUACUGCGGUGAAUACGUUCCCGGGCCUUGUACACACCGCCCGUCACACCACCCGAGUCAGAUGCACCAGAAGUCAUCUAAGGAUGCCGAAGGUGUGCCUGGUAAGGGGGGUGAAGUCGUAACAAGGUA
rnacentral:rRNA from 1 species